ensembl:lncRNA
AAGAGAUCCAAAUUGUGACCAUUUGUAUAGAUACUGUAAAUAGACUUUGUAUUCUGAGAGUAGAGCAGAGGAUUGAGAAGAGGAUAGAGAAGAGGAUAGAGCAGAGGAUAGAGAAGAGGAUAGAGAAGAGGAUAGAGCAGAGGAUAGAGAACAGGAAAGAGCAGAGGAUAGAGAAGAGGAUAGAGCAGAGGAUAGAGAAGAGGAAAGAUAAGAGGAUAGAGAAGAGGAUAGAGCAGGGGAUAGAGAAGAGGAAAGAUAAGAGGAUAGAGAAGAGGAUAGAGCAGGGGAUAGAGAAGAGGAAAGAUAAGAGGAUAGAGAAGAGGAUUGAGAAGAGGAUAGAGAAGAGGAUAGAGAAGAGGAUAGAGAAGAGGAUAGAGAAGAGGAUAGAGCAGAGGAUAGAGAAGAGGAAAGAUAAGAGGAUAGAGAAGAGGAUAGAGCAGGGGAUAGAGAAGAGGAAAGAUAAGAGGAUAGAGAAGAGGAUUGAGAAGAGGAUAGAGAAGAGGAUAGAGAAGAGGAUAGAGAACAGGAAAGAUAAGAGGAUAGAGAAGAGGAUAGAGCAGGGGAUAGAGAAGAGGAUAGAGAAGAGGAUAGAGAAGAGGAUAGAGCAGGGGAUAGAGAAGAGGAUAGAGAACAGGAAAGAUAAGAGGAAAGAGAAGAGGAUAGAGAAGAGGAUAGAGCAGGGGAUAGAGAAGAGGAUAGAGAACAGGAAAGAUAAGAGGAUAGAGAAGAGGAUAGAGCAGGGGAUAGAGAAGAGGAUAGAGAAGAGGAAAGAUAAGAGGAUAGAGAAGAGGAUAGAGAAGAGGAUAGAGAAGAGGAUAGAGAAGAGGAUAGAGCAGGGGAUAGAGAAGAGGAUAGAGAAGAGGAUAGAGAAGAGGAUAGAGAAGAGGAUAGAGAAGAGGAUAGAGAAGAGGAUAGAGCAGGGGAUAGAGAAGAGGAUAGAGAAGAGGAUAGAGAAGAGGAUAGAGAAGAGGAUAGAGAAGAGGAUAGAGCAGGGGAUAGAGAAGAGGAUAGAGAAGAGGAUAGAGAAGAGGAUAGAGCAGAGGAUAGAGAAGAGGAUAGAGCAGGGGAUAGAGAAGAGGAUAGAGAAUAUGAUAGAGCAGGGGAUAGAGAAGAGGAUAGAGCAGAGGAUAGGGAAGAGGAUAGAGCAGGGGAUAGAGAAGAGGAUGGAGCAGGGGGAUAGAGAAGAGUAUAGAGCAGGGGGAUAGAGAAGGGGAUAUAGAGGAGAAUAGGGAAGAGGAUAGAGCAGAGGAAAGAGAAGAGGAUAGAGAAGAGGAUAGAGAAGAGGAUAGGGAAGAGGAUAGAGAAGAGGAUAGAGAAGAGGAUAGAGCAGGGGAUAGAGAAGAGGAUGAUAGAGAAGAUGAUAGAGCAGGGGAUAGAGAAGAGGAUAGAGAAGAUGAUAGAGAAGAGGAUAGAGAAGAUCAUAGAGAAGAUGAUAGAGAAGAGGAUAGAGAAGAGGAUAGAGCAGGGGAUAGAGAAGAGGAUGAUAGAGAAGCGGAUAGAGCAGGGGAUAGAGCAGAGGAUAGAGAAGAGGAUAGAGAAGAGGAAAGAGAAGAGGAUAGAGAAGAGGAUAGAGAAGAGGAUAGAGCAGAGGAA